ensembl:lncRNA
UCUUUCCAAUCUCCUUAUGUUUCAGGUCUUGGAUCUCUUCCUGGGCUCCUGCACUGUGAUAUCCAUCUCACCCGCUUGUCUUGGACCUGUUCCUGGGCUCCUGCACUCUGAUAUCCAUCUCACCCGCUUGUCUUGGACCUGUUCUUGGGCUCCUGCACUCUGAUAUCCAUCUCACCCGCUUGUAAGUAUCUGUCACAGCAGGCGUAGAAACCUGGAGGUUUCGAACUUUUUCAAGUUUUUUUUUUUCUUUCAUUUGAAUGCAAACUAAAGUACUGUUUAUAUUCACCAUUUCUCAACGAAGCAUGCUUUUCUUUCAGAUCUGUUUAUACCAUUCCAUUCGUAAAGCAGCUGCAAAACGAUAUUUUGAAUUAUUCUAAAUGAAGUUUUGUUUACAGCAUCCUGUAGAUACCCCUCUUUCUGCACUUAGGGUCCAGUAAACGAUCAGAAGUGCUCGUA